GCCGGGCCUGGUGGCACUGGCCUGUAGUCCCAGCUACUCGGGAGGCUGAGGCAGGAGAAUCGUUUGAAUCCAGGAAGCCGAGGUUGCAGUGAGCCGAGAUUGUGCCACUGCACUCCAGCCUGGAUGUUACAGCGAGACUCUGUCUCUA
rnacentral:SRP_RNA from 1 species